AUGCGAUACUUGGUGUGAAUUGCAGAAUCCCGUGAACCAUCGAGUCUUUGAACGCAAGUUGCGCCCCAAGCCUUUGGGCCGAGGGCACGUCUGCCUGGGUGUCACGCACUGUAGCCCCCCACCCUCGUGGUAAUGUCUGUGAGGGCUGUGUGCGGCUGAUACUGGCCUUCCCGUAUGGACAGCAAUGCGGUUGGCCCAAAUGGAGGAACCCAGGGCGGUGUAUGCCAUGAUGAGCGGUGGUGUGUGCUUGGCCUGCCGUCGUUAGAGCAUCAUGUGCAUCAUGCCCCUUGAGGUGUGUUUCGUGGACAACCCCGAUGCAACCAUAGCGCGCAUCGCGACCCCAGGUCAGGCGGGAGCACCCGCUGAGUUUAAGCAUAUCAAUAAGCGGAGGAAAAGAAACUUACCAGGAUUCCCCUAGUAACGGCGAGCGAACCGGGAACAGCCCAGCUUGAAAAUCGGUCGCCCUCGGCGUUCGAAUUGUAGUCUGGAGAAGCGUC
rnacentral:rRNA from 1 species